rnacentral:lncRNA from 1 species
UUGACUCAAACACGAAACUAGAUAGAAUCCAACGGAUAACUCAGAUGGCGUAUCAACGAACAAAUCGACGGACCGGACACCGGCGACCUCGAGCGGAAGCACGACCCAAGGAACGACAGACUACUAACUGAAAACUGCCGACUUAAGUAGAUCUCAUGGCUGUUUUGGAUGGCAGAAAAAUGGAGACGAUGAGCUGCGUUUUUAUUGUAAUGUUGCUGUGCAGCUUUUUUGUGUGUGCGUUUGUUAAGAGAUGAAGAAAGAUUUAUUGAAGUGAGAGUGACAGAGGAGUUCUUGGAGAUGGUGGGGUGGCUGGUUCGAUUUUCUAAAGGAGGUGGGGUGAGACUCUUCGCCGGAGAAGACGACGGAACGAGGAGGAUUGAGGUGGACGUCUGUCGAGUUCUGAACGGCGGGGAGGUUCUGGCUGCUGAAGGUUAGAGAUUAAGGCUGGUUCGUUGUUUUCUCUUCGGGUGGGUGGCUAAUCUCCGGCGAGCCUUGGUGGUGGCCGGAGUGGUCGAAGGAGGUGGGGGUUCAACGGAGAU